rnacentral:rRNA from 1 species
GAUUAGUGGCGCACGGGUGAGUAAUAUAUAGAUAACGUGCCUCUUAGUCUGGGAUAGCCAUUGGAAACGAUGAUUAAUACUGGAUACUCCUUCUCAUUAUAAUUUGAGUCGGGAAAGUUUUUCGCUAAGAGAUCGGUCUAUAUCCCAUCAGCUAGUUGGUAGUGUAAGAGACUACCAAGGCAAUGACGGGUAGCGGGUUUGAGAGGAUGAUCCGCCACACUGGUACUGAGACACGGACCAGACUCCUACGGGAGGCAGCAGUGAGGAAUAUUGCACAAUGGAGGAAACUCUGAUGCAGCAACGCCGCGUGGAGGAUGACGCAUUUCGGUGUGUAAACUCCUUUUAUAUGUCAAGAAAAUGACGGUAGCAUAUGAAUAAGCACCGGCUAACUCCGUGCCAGCAGCCGCGGUAAUACGGAGGGUGCAAGCGUUAUUCGGAAUCACUGGGCGUAAAGGACGCGUAGGCGGGAAGCCAAGUCUGAUGUGAAAUCCUAUGGCUCAACCAUAGAACUGCAUUGGAAACUGGUUACCUAGAGUAUGGGAGGGGGAGAUGGAAUUAGUAGUGUAGGGG